CGGCGCCGCCUCUCGCACAACGGAGGCCGUGCCGGCCGCGGCAGCACCGAGCACCGGGGGCGGCGCCGCACGUGUUCCACGGGCUGCGGCGGCCGGCCGGGUUCUUUGUCCCGGGCAGAGGCUUCGCGCGGCGGCUCCCAAACCGCCAGUCACGCCCGCGGCAGGCGAGUGAACGAACGCUCUCAAGAUCACGCGCCCGCCGCCACCACGUCCCACGCUCUCGCCUGCCCCACAUCGAUUCAUCGAAACAGAAACUCGAGCACCAGCAGCGCGCCGCGGCGGUCGUACCUGGAACUAUGAACGCGUCUGUUUCUCCGUAACUCCGCAGUGGCUUCCAGGUAGCGGCACUGUCCCGCCAUGGAGAUGCCGGGCUUCAGCGUCUGAAAACAUUUGCAGAAAUUUCCUGGUGCGAUACAGAAUGUGUCAAGAAAGUCAGUGCUUGAGGAGAAAAGCAAUAUCGAUUUUGAUACGAUUAUGUUAUAAACCUAUAAAAGGACAAUUACAUAAUGUUGUAUUAUUGUGAUAGAAAAAUUUUACUACGGAAUUUGUAACUUAUUACGGUUCAUGUAGACUCUAGAUUCCAGAGGAAACAGCUUAUCACAGCUAUUAAACUAUUUGUAGUCAUAUGCUGACAAUGGCCAGCUAAUACCAAUAAAAAUUUGUUAUGGAACAA